GACGAACGCUGGCGGCGUGCUUAACACAUGCAAGUCGAACGGAAAGGCCCUGCUUUUGUGGGGUGCUCGAGUGGCGAACGGGUGAGUAACACGUGAGUAACCUGCCCUUGACUUUGGGAUAACUUCAGGAAACUGGGGCUAAUACCGGAUAGGAGCUCCUGCUGCAUGGUGUGGGUUGGAAAGUUUCGGCGGUUGGGGAUGGACUCGCGGCUUAUCAGCUUGUUGGUGGGGUAGUGGCUUACCAAGGCUUUGACGGGUAGCCGGCCUGAGAGGGUGACCGGCGACAUUGGGACUGAGAUACGGCCCAGACGCCUACGGGAGGCAGCAGUGGGAAAUAUUGCACAAUGGGCGGAAGCCUGAUGCAGCAACGCCGCGUGCGGGAUGACGGCCUUCGGGUUGUAAACCGCUUUCGCCUGUGACGAAGCGUGAGUGACGGUAAUGGGUAAAGAAGCACCGGCUAACUACGUG
rnacentral:rRNA from 1 species